rnacentral:rRNA from 1 species
UACGAAGGGUGCUAGCGUUGUUCGGAAUUACUGGGCGUAAAGCGUGCGUAGGUGGUUUGUUAAGUCUGCUGUGAAAGCCCCGGGCUCAACCUGGGAAUGGCAGUGGAUACUGGCAAGCUAGAGUGCGGUAGAGGGGUGUGGAAUUCCCGGUGUAGCGGUGAAAUGCGUAGAGAUCGGGAGGAACACCAGUGGCGAAGGCGGCACCCUGGACCAGCACUGACACUGAGGCACGAAAGCGUGGGGAGCAAACAGG